CCAAUAGCGUAUAUUAAAGUUGUUGCAGUUAAAAAGCUCGUAGUUGAAUUUCGAGACCGGUCUACUGGUCGUGCUUUUGUACGUACUGGUAUAAUCGGUUUCUCUCUUCUGACAAACUAUAAUGCCAUUAAUUUGGUGUUUUAGGGAAUCAGGACUGUUACUUUGAAAAAAUUAGAGUGUUUAAAGCAGGCUCACGCUUGAAUACAUUAGCAUGGAAUAACGAAAUAGGACGUUUGAUUCUAUUUUGUUGGUUUCUAGGAUCGACGUAAUGAUUAAUAGGGAUCGUUGGGGGCAUUAGUAUUCAAUUGUAAGAGGUGAAAUUCUUGGAUUUAUUGAAGACUAAAUACUGCCAAAGCAGUUGCAAAGGAUGUUUUCAUUAAUCAAGAACGGAAGUUAGGGGAUCGAAGACGAUCAGAUACCGUCGUAGUCUUAACCAUAAACUAUGCCGACUAGGGAUCGGAUGAUGUUAAAUUAAUGACUCAUUCGGCACCUUACG
rnacentral:rRNA from 1 species